GCUCUGUGUACGCAAGGGCUACACAGGCCGAUCACUGAAAAACAGGUGGUCAGCUCAGUCAUCCUGCUUCGGCAAACACACUACUAGGUUUGGCAUAACGUAGAGUAUGCAGAAAGCUGAAAUACGAAGCCAGC
ncrna:unclassified sequences RT-10 RNA